rnacentral:tRNA from 20 species
GGAAGGCAAUCGCGCCCGGUGGCGCGGCCGGGCUUCAAACCCGGUUGGGGACGGCAGCCGUUCCCGGGCAGGUUCGACUCCCGCUGCCUUCC